CUCGCCGCUCUGCCACACCUGCUUCAGCACCUGCGGCGGCGGGCGCCCACGCCGCGGGGUGCCGAGCUCCUGGUGGCGGGUCGUGAACACCGCGGCGGAUUCCGGCCGCGAGGGGGCAGUGCUGGAGGAGGAGCCGGAGAGGGCCGGGUUGGCGGCGUCGGAGGAGGAGGUGAGGGAGCGGUUGAGGUGAGCGAAGACGAAGCGGCGGGAGGGGCGCGGGUAGGGCGGGAUGACCUUGCAGAUGCCGUAGG
rnacentral:lncRNA from 1 species